CCUACGGGCGGCAGCAGUGAGGAAUAUUGGUCAAUGGACGAGAGUCUGAACCAGCCAAGUAGCGUGAAGGAUGACUGCCCUACGGGUUGUAAACUUCUUUUAUAUGGGAAUAAAAUGUUCCACGUGUGGGAUUUUGUAUGUACUUUAUGAAUAAGGAUCGGCUAACUCCGUGCCAGCAGCCGCGGUAAUACGGAGGAUCCGAGCGUUAUCCGGAUUUAUUGGGUUUAAAGGGAGCGUAGGUGGAUUGUUAAGUCAGUUGUGAAAGUUUGCGGCUCAACCGUAAAAUUGCAGUUGAAACUGGCAGUCUUGAGUACAGUAGAGGUAGGCGGAAUUCGUGGUGUAGCGGUGAAAUGCUUAGAUAUCACGAAGAACUCCGAUUGCGAAGGCAGUUCACUAGACUGCCACUGACACUGAGGCUCGAAAGUGUGGGUAUCAAACAGGAUUAGAUACCCUGGUAGUC
rnacentral:rRNA from 1 species